rnacentral:rRNA from 1 species
CCUACGGGUGGCAGCAGUGAGGAAUAUUGGUCAAUGGCCGAGAGCCUGAACCAGCCAAGUCGCGUGAAGGAUGACGGCCCUACGGGUUGUAAACCUCUUUUGUCGGGGAGUAAAGCGACUCACGUGUGGCGCUUUGUAUGUACCCUAAGAAUAAGCAUCGGCUAAUUCCGUGCCAGCAGCCGCGGUAAUACGGAGGAUGCGAGCGUUAUCCGGAUUUAUUGGGUUUAAAGGGAGCGCAGGCGGUGGUGUAAGUCAGCGGUAAAAUUGCGGGGCUCAACCCCGUCGUGCCGUUGAAACUGUAUCACUUGAGUGUGCGAGAGGUAUGCGGAAUGCGUGGUGUAGCGGUGAAAUGCAUAGAUAUCACGAAGAACUCCGAUCGCGAAGGCAGCAUACCGGCGCAAAACUGACGCUCAGGCACGAAAGCGUGGGUAUCGAACAGGAUUAGAUACCCGAGUAGUC